AGUAAAGCAGAUAGAAAGAACUCACGCAAAUCUAUCCUACAACACGCACAGACAGUGCAGGGGAGUGAGCACGCACACAGGUCUUUUAUGAUUGUUUGCGUGAUGGUGUCUUGCUAAUUCACUGAAGAAAGACAUAUGAUUAUGGAUAGAAAGAAUAUUCUGAAAAGGAAAGGAUUAAGGCAAUGAGGAGCAAGGCUAAAGCAGUGGAAGACUCAUGUUGCUCUAUCAGCAGAUGAGAAGGACCUGAGAGUGCCACUGACGACAUGACUGCUUCAUAGGCUGCUCACAGAUCUCCGGGAGAAGUUCCUUCGACACAAAUCCAGCAUUACAUUCUACCCUGUAGGCUUGACCAGCCUCUAUGAAAAUGACAGGCCUUUGGAUGACAUUUUCCAUCAUAUCUUGGGAGCUCCAGUGAUCCAGUAGUAAAUGAAUGAGUGCCUUCUUGUUUUCAUCGUUUGUGAGAAAGGCAUCUAAUCAGCGGGGCGAUGAACAUUCAGCCCAUUCACAAUAAAACGUUCACCACAGCCUCUGCGAUCUCUCUCAGCUGAUUUUGGUGAAUGAAGAUGGUUCACCGGUUGCCUGGGAUCUGUGACCUUGAAACACAAGAGAAACAGGUUCCUCCUCUAGGCCAAUGUGCUCUCAUUCAGGAUGGAAAUUCCUCAUUGUACAUGCG